GUUUAAAAAAAGUUCCCGGUAACGGUGAGUGUUUACAUAAAGCUCCCGGUAACGGUGAGUGUUUAAAUAAAGCUCCCGGUAACGGUGUGUGUUUACAUAAAGCUCCCGGUAACGGUGUUUCCGCGCUCGCGGUUUGGCGCCUCUUUCUGUCCGAACAAUGGACGUCAUGUGAGCUCGCGCUCACAUCCAGCUGUUGCACUUGCGCGCGUCGUCACCUUUAAGAUGCUCGCGGAUAAAGCUUGAUUUAAACCCGACACCAUUUUAACGUUAACGGCUCGAGCUGCGCGUGGCGACCGAGGUUACGGAUGACCGUCCGUGUGUGUGUGUGUUUUAACGGUACCGGUAAGAGCAGCGGAGCCGCGAGCGGGGCGGGGGAAUUAACGGCCGAGCUGUGUCUCCGGUAAAUGUCGGAUUUCAUUAUUUGUCGGCCUACCGUGAAGUGGCGGAGGGGGCGCGAGGGACGGCACGAGACGAGCCCGGAGUCCGCGCGCGGGGCGCACACACACACUUUCCCUUUAAAGCGGAGGGGGACGGAGGGCGCGAGGAGGAGGUAAAAAAAGGAAAGGAAGAAAGAGAGGGAGGGAGGAGGCGAGGAGGAGGAGAGGAGGAGAGGAGGAGGGCGAGAAAGAGGAGUGAGGGAGAGAGUUAAAAAAAAGAGAAAGAUGGCAUCCUGUCGAUUCAAACACCGAGGCGGAGCCAUGGACCGCGGCCGACCAGGAGCGCUCUAGUUAGGGGACGAGCUGUACGCAACGCCGAGGCUUGGGGACCCGACGCUGCGGCCUUUGUUUGUUUUUUUGGAGCUAUCGCUAAUAAAUGAGUCCGGCUACAUCCUGCUCAUCUUCUGUAUCAAAAUAAUUCUAUUCUGCAUGCAAUUCACCAGAUUUUAUUACAGUAGACAUAAGCAAAUGAAAUUAAAAUGCACCAUUAAAGAAAGCAUGAGACCAACCAUUUUGUCGCAUUUACAGAAUCAUCUUGUCAGAGCCUCUGUGCCGCCAACAGACUGCCACAUUAAUUCAUAACUCAUACCCUGAUAAGUGUCAGUCAGCUGGAGCUAAAUAUCAUCAACAUAUUUCCAUAAAGCAGCGGGCGGAGAGGCGCCGCGCACAGGCCGCGCAGCUCGUUUUCAUAGCGGCAGUUGGAGCCUCUCGCUCGGCUCCGCUGCCCUCCUCCCUCCCCUCUUCGCUCCCAGGCUGGUUCGCUCUCCCCUUCAGGAUGGAUACCUCCUGGAGUAAUUUCCUCUUUCAGACGCCGUCGUCUCAGAGUCAGCCUGAGACGCCUCUUCAGUCUGAGCUGCUGCCCGAGCUGACCGGUGCCGCUCAGAGUCCUCCGGCCGAGCACAUCGUGACACCGCCGUCCACCGUCGACACGGCCGCCCUGAGCGAGGAGCCGCUGCCCGUCAAACCCCUCGUCAAGCCGAGCCGGCCCGCCCACAUCUGCGCCACCUGCAACAAAGAGUUCAAGAACAGCUACAACCUGCGGCGGCACCAGUCGGUGCACACGGGCAUCAAGUUGAAGGACCGCGCCGCCCGCGAGAAGGAGGACGCGGCAGGGAAGGUGGGCCGGGUGGAGAAGCAGAUGGUCCCUCUGUCCCUCCUCCACCUCACCCUGCCCACGCAGCCUCCUCCACCCACCGCCAUUGUCGCCGCCCCAGAGAACCUCCCCCAGCCAGGCCAGCACGGCAACCAAGAGAGCCAGCCGGUCUCUGUUUCCAUCGCCCCGGCAACCGUAACCUUGGCUGCGCCUCCUCAACCCAUCCAGGCAGCUGUUGUGGUCGUGGGCUCCAUGGAGCAGAAUCCAAACCCCAACCCCAACCCCAACCCCAACCAGGUGAGGAAGAACCACGCCUGCGAGGCCUGUGGGAAGGCCUUCAGAGACGUGUACCACCUGAACCGUCACCGUCUGUCCCACUCGGACGAGAAGCCGUACUCCUGCCCGAUCUGCCAGCAGCGCUUCAAGAGGAAAGACCGGAUGAGUUACCACGUACGCUCGCACCAGGGCGGCGUGGAGAAGCCGUACAUCUGUCCGCACUGCGCCAAGGCCUUCUCUCGACCGGACCACCUCAACAGCCACGUCCGACAGGUGCACUCUACAGAGCGACCGUUCAAGUGCACGACGUGCACGUCGGCGUUCGCCACGCGUGAUCGUCUCCGCGCUCACCUGAUCCGUCACGAGGAGAAGGUGCCGUGUCACAUCUGUGGGAAGCUGCUGUCCGCCGCUUACAUCACCGACCACAUGAGGGUCCACAACCAAUCACAGCAUCACGCCUGUCACCUCUGCAACCGCAGCUUCACCACCCUCACCUACCUGCGUGUCCACGCCCAGAAGCACCACGGUCAGGAGUGGAAGGAGAGCGGCGGGGCGCGGGGCGGCUUCGGUGGGACGGGCGCCGGCGGUGUUCUGCUCUGUCAGCUGUGCGGCGUGCAGUGCAAGACGGCCACGCAGCUCCAGGGUCACAUGGGCACCCACGCCAACCAGGGCGACCCGAGCCCGGACCCGUCGAGCGCGGGCCCCGUGGGCACCACCAGCGUGGCCGUCACUGUGUCCAGCGCUAGCACAGUGGGACUGCUGGUAACUGACUGCUCCAGUAUCACCCCCCAGCCCCACAGCUAGCACGCUGGAAGGGCAAGGGGUCGGGGUGGGGACGGGUGGGGACGGGUGGGGCAGGGGAUGGAGGCGGGGGAGAUGGUUUAAUGGAGGCAAAUGAGGACUCACGGAGGAGAGGACGGGAAGACGGCAUCCAGUUCAGAUUUCUUUGUAACAGACGAGGACACAGACCAGGAGGAGCUGUCGUGGAAGUCGUCGUGUCUCGUCCUCAGCGUUGCUCCUGGUUUCAUGACCCCCGUUUCCAUCAGCAGGUUCAAACCGCUCACCUGCCACGAACACUGAGUCACAUCCUGUACAGUGUCGAGACGACGAGGAAACGUUCAUAGGAGAAGAUUAUUAAUGUAUUUUUAUUCAUAUGGCUUAUUAGCAGUUAGCUGUUUGUGUUUGCCAUCAUGUCACUGUUUUAAUUUCAUUAUUUUGUAAAGCUGUUCUUUUUAAAUCAUUUCAUGAUAUCAGUGUUUGUUUAUAAUGAGCUUAUAAUGAUAUAUCUCAGUUUCUCCCCUAAUUUAUGACUAAACAGUUUCCGGUUUGCCUUUGUCAGACUCAGCAGGACGCAGGACACGCGUGUCAGUCGGGCCAUCAUGUAUAUACACUUUUGUACAGCUGAUAAAGGCAAACUAAUAGUUGUUUGUGAAUAUUCUCCAUGGACUUUGAAUGUGCAUAACUCCUCUGCUUCAUAUGAUCUCUGCUCUAACGCUGGAUGCUGAUUUGUAAUUCUUGAAAAAAGGUUCAGUUGUAAUUUGUAGCUACCUUUGGUGACACAUUUCUGUGGCUGUGCAUAUUGAUUGUACUUGAUGCAUAGUGCAUAGCGCCUCGUUACUACUGUAUUAAAAAGCAGUAAAAUGCAUGAGUGGAUUGAUCUUCA